GUUUUCAGGCCGUGCUGACUGGACCGCUGCUGCAAGCGCACAGAAACUGCCAGGAGUGCUGCAUUCACGUACCUCCAGAAAUCCCGGGUACUAUGAUAGGUUAAGACUCAUUUAAAGAUUCAGGCGCCCUUAAUCUGAGUCUGAGGCCUGACGAGGACAAUUGUUUUGUUGGCUUUAUGAACAAGUCAAGUCAAUACAAAUGCAUCUACACAGAGAGACACCUAGAAAGAAAAUGUGUGACCAAUCAAGCUAACAUGCAUGUUUUCGGGUUGUGGGAGGAAACCAGAGUACCCGUGUGCACAGAGAGAGCAUGCAAGGCAGACCUCCUCGCUCCGAGGCAACAGUGCAGAAGUAUUUGAUCAUCUCUAAUUUAAAUUCUUAUUAUAUAUUUUUAGCCUGGUCAAAUAUCAACAGGGUUGUUCUGAACAAAGAAUAAAGAUUUGUUAAAACACAGUUUGAAAUUUAUGAAACC